UGUAUAAAGGUGGUAGAAACUUAUUUUUGC
rnacentral:piRNA from 1 species